rnacentral:rRNA from 1 species
CAGAGACUGCAAGCGUUAUUCGGAUUCACUGGGCGUAAAGGGUGCGCAGGCGGCCAAGUGUGUGAGGCGUGAAAGCCCGGGGCUUAACCCCGGAAUUGCACCUCAAACUACAUGGCUAGAGCAUUGGAGAGGGUAGCAGAAUUCAUGGUGUAGCAGUGAAAUGCGUAGAUAUCAUGAGGAAUACCAGAGGCGAAGGCGGCUACCUGGACAAUUGCUGACGCUCAGGCACGAAAGCGUGGGGAGCAAAAGGGAUUAGAUACCCCUGUAGUCCACGCCCUAAACGGUGCACACUAGGUCUUGGCGGAUUCGACCCCCCAGGGCCCAGCUAACGCGUUAAGUGUGCCGCCUGAGGACUACGGCCGCAAGGCU